rnacentral:rRNA from 1 species
GAUGAACGCUAGCGGGAGGCCUAACACAUGCAAGCCGAGCGGUAGAGUUCCUUCGGGAACUUGAGAGCGGCGUACGGGUGCGUAACACGUGUGCAACCUACCUUUAUCUGGGGGAUAGCCUUUCGAAAGGAAGAUUAAUACCCCAUAAUAUAUUGAAUGGCAUCAUUUAAUAUUGAAAACUCUGGUGGAUAGAGAUGGGCACGCGCACGAUUAGAUAGUUGGUGAGGUAACGGCUCACCAAGUCUGUGAUCUUUAGGGGUCCUGAGAGGGAGAUCCCCCACACGGGUACUGAGACACGGACCAGACUCCUACGGGAGGCAGCAGUGAGGAAUAUUGGACAAUGGGUGAGAGCCUGAUCCAGCCACCCCGCGUGAAGGAUGACGGUCCUAUGGAUUGUAAACUUCUUUUGUACAGGAAUAAACCUAUUUACGUGUAAAUAGCUGAAGGUACUGUACGAAUAAGCACCGGCUAACUCCGUGCCAGCCGCCGCCGUAA